UGGGGAAUCAUGGGCAAUGGGCGCAAGCCUGACCCUGCCAUGCCGCGUGUGUGAAGAAGGCCUUCGGGUUGUAAAGCACUUUCAGUGGUGAAGAAAAGCGCAGGGCUAAUAUCCCUGUGUCUUGACGUUAUCCACAGAAGAAGCACCGGCUAACUCCGUGCCAGCAGCCGCGGUAAUACGGAGGGUGCAAACGUUAAUCGGAAUUACUGGGCGUAAAGCGCGCGUAGGCGGUGUGAUAAGUGGGAUGUGAAAGCCCCGGGCUUAACCUGGGAACUGCAUUCCAAACUGUCACGCUAGAGUAUGGUAGAGGGAGGUGGAAUUUCCUGUGUAGCGGUGAAAUGCGUAGAUAUAGGAAGGAACACCAGUGGCGAAGGCGGCCUCCUGGACCAAUACUGACGCUGAGGUGCGAAAGCGUGGGGAGCAAACA
rnacentral:rRNA from 1 species